rnacentral:lncRNA from 1 species
UAUUCUCUGGUUAGGACAUUGUGAUAUAAUGUGUCCAUCACCUAAACACCUGAAGUAUUUGAUGGUGCUAUGUUUUGGAUUAAAAUAAGGUUUUUUAGGAUUACCUUCAGUGUCAGUCUAUUUUACUCUAGUCCCCUUGCCCUUAAAUAUCUCAUAUUUACUUGACCAUCUUGAGCUAUAUUGGUGGGGGGAUUUGACAUUCUUCUGGGGGGGCUCCUUAUGCUUAAGUAGCUUCUCAACUUUCAUAAGCAUGUGCAUUAUGUCUUCUAACUCAUGUAAUGUUACAAUUCGAUUGCAUUAAAAAUUUCUUGGUUUAGGCUAGUUAUGAACUGUGCCAUAAAGGCUUUGGGAUCUUCAUCUAUAUUGGUCCUGAUUAUUGUCAUCUUGAUCUCCUUGUGUUGAUCUUCCAUGGAUAUGGAUUGUUGUGUUAGGUUUUGUAACUUUUGAUGCAUCUCCCUGUGAUAGUAAGAAGGUACAUAUCUCUUUCCCCUAAUAGAUUUCAUCUCCCUCCAUGUUGAGACAUGUUGGUCUCCAUUGCACCUUCUUCUAGUUAGUAGCUGAUCCCACCAUACUAGUGCAUAGUUGGUGAAUUCUAUAAUGAAUAGUUUUGCCUUUUUUUCUUCAUUGUAGUUAUGAAAGUCAAAGAUGAGCUCUAUCUUUCAGUCCUAUUCUAGGUAGGUUUCGGCAUCAUUUCGUUUCUUAAAAAGUAAAAUAUUCAUUUGAUAGAGCUGAUUUUGCUAUCUCUCAUGAUCUCCCUUCAGUAAUCUCGAUCAUCAUCUUUUUCAUUCUCAUCAUAAGAUUUGACAUCAUCCUGUGGGGCUGGUGCCUUGUCCGGACCAAACUAUUGUUUCUCUACCUCCUUUCAUCAAUCCUUGCUUCUAGAUUUAUAAUUGCCAGAACAAAUUAUGUAAACAAGUUGUUUAGAUACUCCCUC